GAAAUGCGAUAAGUAAUGUGAAUUGCAGAAUUCAGUGAAUCAUCGAAUCUUUGAACGCACCUUGCGCUCCUUGGUAAUCCGAGGAGCAUGCCUGUUUGAGUGUCAUGAAAUUAUCAGAUUCCUACCAGCUUGCUGGUGUGAAUUUGGAUGUAUGGGGGGAUUUGCUGAGUCAUUUCAUUGUUCAGCUCCUCUGAAAUGUAUAUUAGCAAAAGAAAGAGAACUUCAUGCUGAUUUUGUUGGUGUUAUAAUAACUGUUUCAACAACUAAUGUCAGAAGGGGUGAUCUUGAGUCCUUAGGGACAAUUAUAAUUCUUUUUUGACCUCAAAUCAGGUAGGACUACCCGCUGAACUUAA
rnacentral:rRNA from 1 species